rnacentral:rRNA from 1 species
CCUACGGGAGGCAGCAGUGGGGAAUAUUGCACAAUGGGGGAAACCCUGAUGCAGCGACGCCGCGUGAGUGACGAAGUAUUUCGGUAUGUAAAGCUCUAUCAGCAGGGAAGAAAAUGACGGUACCUGACUAAGAAGCCCCGGCUAACUACGUGCCAGCAGCCGCGGUAAUACGUAGGGGGCAAGCGUUAUCCGGAUUUACUGGGUGUAAAGGGAGCGUAGACGGCAGCACAAGUCUGGAGGGAAAUGCCGGGGAUUAACCCCGGGACUGCUUUGGAAACUGUGUAGCUAGAGUGCAGGAGAGGUAAGUGGAAUUCCUGGGGUAGCGGUGAAAUGCGUAGAUAUUAGGAGGAACACCAGUGGCGAAGGCGGCUUACUGGACUGUAACUGACGUUGAGGCUCGAAAGCGUGGGGAGCAAACAGGAUUAGAUACCCCUGUAGUC